UAAAUAUGAGUAGUAUAGGGUGACAUUUUUAUAUGAAAUGUCUUAAAAGGGAAGUUGGUGCAAGUCCAACACGGUCCCGCCACUGUAAGAGGGAGUAGUCUUAGUCAUACCACUGCGAUAUGCGGGAAGGUUAAAGAACUACGUUGAACUCGAAGUCAGGAGACCUGCCUUAUAACUAACACCAAA
rnacentral:ncRNA from 2 species